rnacentral:rRNA from 1 species
UGGGGAAUAUUGGACAAUGGGCGAAAGCCUGAUCCAGCAAUGCCGCGUGGGUGAUGAAGGCCUUAGGGUUGUAAAGCUCUUUUACCAGGGAUGAUAAUGACAGUACCUGGAGAAUAAGCUCCGGCUAACUCCGUGCCAGCAGCCGCGGUAAUACGGAGGGAGCUAGCGUUGUUCGGAAUUACUGGGCGUAAAGCGUACGUAGGCGGUGACUCAAGUCAGAGGUGAAAGCCUGGAGCUCAACUCCAGAACUGCCUUUGAAACUAGGUCGCUAGAAUCACGGAGAGGUGAGUGGAAUUCCGAGUGUAGCGGUGAAAUGCGUAGAUAUCAAGAGGAACACCUGAGGUGAAGACGGGUUGCUGGGCUGACACUGACGCUGAGGCGCGAAAGCCAGGGGAGCAAACGGGAUUAGAUACCCAAGUAGUCCCUGAGCGGGCUGGCAAGGCGCAU